rnacentral:rRNA from 1 species
UACGUAGGGGGCAAGCGUUGUCCGGAAUUAUUGGGCGUAAAGAGCGCGUAGGCGGUCCGAUAAGUCGGCUGUGAAAGUCAGGGGCUCAACCCUUGGAAGCCGGCCGAUACUGUCGGACUAGAGUCCGGAAGAGGCGAGUGGAAUUCCCGGUGUAGCGGUGAAAUGCGCAGAUAUCGGGAGGAACACCGGUGGCGAAGGCGGCGAUCUGGGUAGAUACUGACGCUGAGGUGCGAAAGCGUGGGGAGCAAACAGG